rnacentral:tRNA from 1 species
GGGCCCGUAGCUCAGUUUGGAUAGAGCAGCACCCUCCUAAGGUGAAGGUCGGGGGUUCAAAUCCCCUCGGGUCCG